UAUCUUAUGUCUAACAUGUAGCUUCUACUAUAUAAAAUCAUGUUUUGUGGUUGAACAGUUUUAAAUCAUGUAGAUUUAGCAUAAAAUGCAACAACUUAAAAUUUACUUGAAUAAUUUAUGUUAAAACAACCUAAUUCUAAUGGGUUAAGAUUGCAAAUCAAUAACACUCCAAAGCAGUAGGUGGCAGUAAUGAGCACAUUCCCCUCUCUUGAAGGCCACGGUCAAAGGUGAGUGAGUCCCCGACUCUGGCUGGCAGAAGGAGUAGACAUUUUGAAAAGAAAUUUCAAGUGUGGAAGAAGCUAACUGCUGAAUUUAAGAGGAUUACAACCAUCAGUUUGCUGUCAAAGUUCUUCUCCCAGCUGGAUGCUCAUUCUUCAAACUUGAUGAGGGUGUUUGGCAAGAAAGGCGGCGUUCAAGGAAGAAAGAUAAGGAGCAUCAUGAUACCCAUCACCAAGACUGACGCCAUUGAUGUCAAAAGAGAGUGAAUCAUCAAAGCCCUGUGUGUGUACCUGAAUGAAGAGCCCGAGAACCUUGUGAAAGAAUACAUGAACACAGAUUGUGGGAGCAGUGAAGCUGCAGUGAUGGAGACGACAUUUGGAAUAUUUGUCAUUCGCAAGGAAGGUGCAGAGCCAGGUGAUGGACCGGAAGAUGUAGGUAUAGUUCUGGAUGGGCUCGGAAACGUGCCACUUGCUGUGGUCAUGUUGUUUGCGCUUGUAUAUGCGCUUAACCUCAGCUACCCGCCAGAGCUCAGAUACACCUUUGAAGCUUUGCAGAAGAUCAUCGUGGAGCUUGAUGGAAACAUACUCUCAAAAAAAACUCAAACACUGAAAACUCUACUUGCGUGUUAGUCACCCUCAAUAGAGUAAACUACAGGUUUGGAGUUACUCUAAUGGGAAGGCAUUUGAAGCCAUUUGAGUAGUUACUGAACUGAAAGCU